GACGAACGCUGGCGGCGUGCUUAACACAUGCAAGUCGAACGAAGUGGCGAACGGGUGAGUACCGCGUAAUCAACCUGCCCUUCAGAGGGGAACAACAGUUGGAAACGACUGCUAAUACCGCAUACUGAAGGAGGGGCAUGCGUCGGUGUAGCUAGUUGGAGGGGUAACGGCCCACCAAGGCGAUGAUCAUUAGCCGGUCUGAUAGGAUGACCGGCAACAUUGGGACUGAGAAACGGCCCAGACGCCUACGGGAGGCAGCAGUGGGGAAUCUUCCGCAAUGGACGAAAGUCUGACGGAGCAACGCCGCGUGAGUGAUGACGGCCUUCGGGUGGUAAAGCUCUGUUAAUCGGGACGCGGUACCGGAAUAGAAAGCCACGGCUAACUACGUGCCAGCCGCCGCGGUAAUUC
rnacentral:rRNA from 1 species